rnacentral:rRNA from 1 species
UACGGAGGGGGCUAGCGUUGUUCGGAAUUACUGGGCGUAAAGCGCACGUAGGCGGACCAGAAAGUCAGGGGUGAAAUCCCGGGGCUCAACCCCGGAACUGCCUUUGAACCUUCUGGUCUUGAGGUCGAGAGAGGUGAGUGGAAUUCCGAGUGUAGAGGUGAAAUUCGUAGAUAUUCGGAGGAACACCAGUGGCGAAGGCGGCUCACUGGCUCGAUACUGACGCUGAGGUGCGAAAGCGUGGGGAGCAAACAGG